UUUGGUUGCAUUUACCCAGAAUGCCCUGCGCUGUAGUCCACUUCCUGCUUUUAGCGCGGUCCCUGGCCGGUUGGGGUACCGGAGUUUGAACUGCAGCAGAGCUCAUUUUCAUUUCAGCUGAAUCCAGACCGAGGUUAGUAGGAGCACCGGACCAACCCAACCGAACAACUGGGUCUGGAGUUUGAAGCGAAGUGAACAGAGCUGGAGGGAACGAUGCAUUCAUAAAGCAUCUAAAGAGGGGGAAACCAGAACGCCCCCAAAUGCAGGAUAAUCAGCUCAGAUGGAGGCAGCAUUUACUUCCUCCUCGCCUGCAGCUGCACAGGAAGCUGCAGCGAAGCAUGCGGCGCUGAGCUGCAGCUCCGGUCCAGACGGGUCUGCGGGUUGCAGGGAAACCGGACCUUUAUCCUGUUAUGUUCCACUCAAACAGAGGAACAGCUUCUCCCUGCCCGGUUAAUGGAUCAGAACAUUUCCCAACAGAACCUGGGUCAAAUCGUUUCAUGUUUCACACACAGCAAAAACACUGCAGAGCAACUUUCAGCUCCACAAGAUGUUCCAUUAAAACCUGACGUCUGCAAUCCAUCAGUUACCCAGAGUUCAGUCUGAUUAGGGGCGUCGCUUCAGGGAGGAGUCAACGUUGCUUUAAUGAAGGAGCCAACGUUGCUGUCAGAUUGUUGCAGGUUGAGCUGCAGACAAUUGAUCAUCCAUCAGUUAAACUGAAACGAUCGUCUCUCGUCUUUUCUGGUUUGUUUUCUUCUUAUCUCUGUUUUCCAUCCAGCUGCUUUAUUGCUUUGCUCCUGUGUUUUAUCGCUCCACAAACAAACCAGCAGUGAAAUAAUAAAGCCAUCACAGGAC